rnacentral:rRNA from 1 species
UACCUGGUUGAUCCUGCCAGUAGUCAUAUGCUUGUCUCAAAGAUUAAGCCAUGCAUGUCCAAGUAUAAGCAAUUUGUACAGUGAAACUGCGAAUGGCUCAUUAAAUCAGUUAUCGUUUAUUUGAUAGUACCUUUUACCUGGAUAACCGUGGUAAUUCUAGAGCUAAUACAUGCUGAAAACCCCGACUUUGGAAGGGGUGUAUUUAUUAGAUUAAAAGCCAAUGCCCUUCGGGGCUAACAGGUGAUUCAUAAUAACUCAACGAAUCGCAUGGCCUUGCGCCGGCGAUGGUUCAUUCAAAUUUCUGCCCUAUCAACUUUCGAUGGUAGAGUAGUGGUCUACCAUGGUGUUAACGGGUAACGGGGGAUUAGGGUCCGAUCCCGGAGAGGGAGCCUGAGAAACGGCUACCACAUCCAAGGAAGGCAGCAGGCGCGCAAAUUACCCAAUAGCGACACGCUGAGGUAGUGACAAUAAAUACUGAUCGGGGGCUCAUAUGGGCCUCCGAAUCGGAAUGAGUACAAUUUAAAUCCCUUAACGAGGAACAAUUGGAGGGCAAGUCUGGUGCCAGCAGCCGCGGUAAUUCCAGCUCCAAUAGCGUAUAUUAAAGUUGUUGCAGUUAAAAAGCUCGUAGUUGAACCUUGGGUCUGGCUGACCGGUCCGCCUCACCGCGUGCACUGGUUCGGCCGGGCCUUUCCUUCUGGGGAGCCGCAUGCCCUUCACUGG